AGAAGGUCUGAAUUUUUCUUUUCUUUUAUGGGGUGUUUACAGUACUUUAUUGUAAAAUUUGUGUUGAUAUUAUACAAUACAUAUAUUUAUGCAUUUCUGAAUUUCUAAACUUUUUCUGCGUGGUCUAAUGGCUUUAGCCUGUCAUCUGCAGUUUCCACAAAGCUCCCUCAAAAUUCCCAUUCAAUUUCUUAUGUCAACCUGAGAUAUAUAAAAACUGAGUUGGGGAAAGGCAUGUCGAAGGGAUAACUGUAACUUUGAAAAACCCCGUUUACGUUCCAGCUCAGCCCGCCUCCUGCGGCCGCCGCCCCCGCGAGCAGGAGCCCCUUCCCCGGCCGCCGAGAGAGCCGCCCCGAGGCCAGUCCUCCGUGACUCCCGCAGGCGCCGGCGCAGACGGACUUCGCCCCAGCGCUUGAAGCUCAGCCAGUGCGGGCCAUAGCGGGCUAGCGGAGAGCCGAGACGAAGCAGUCCGAGGCGUCCUGCCGCGCAGCCCCGCUGCUGCCCCCGACCUCCACGGUCCCGGCCGCAGCCAUGGCCUCGCUGACCCAGAGCAGCUCGGGUCCGGUGCAGCGCCGCACCAAGGCCUCGCGCAGCUCCGCCGACAAGGAGCGGGCGGCCGGCAGCAGAGGGGGCGGUGGCGGCGGCGGCGACGAGCAAGAGCCUCCGGGAGGAGCAGGACGACGACGACAAGGGCGACUCCAAGGAAACCCGGCUGACCCUGAUGGAGGAGGUGCUGCUGCUGGGCCUCAAGGACCGAGAGGUGAGACAAGGAAUCCGUUGAAAUUGCACUACCAGUUAAGAAAUGUUCGUGAAAGAUUAGCUAAAAACCUGGUGGAAAAAGGUGUAUUGACACAGAGAAACAGAACUUCCUCCUUUUUGACAUGACAACACAUCCACUCACCACCAACAACAUUAAGCAAGGCCUCAUCAAGAAAGUCCGAGAAGCUGUUCUUGACGAAUGGGUGAAUGACCCUCGUGGAACAGACAAGCGCUUGCCUGGCUCAUGCUGCUGCGGUCCGGGAGAACGCUUUGGCCCUCUUCUGGAUGGAACAGUAUGAUUUGGCCACAAAGAGAGUGCGACAGCUUCUAGAUUUAGACCCAGAAGUUAAAUGGAUGAAGGCCAACACAAAUGAGGUCCUGUGGGUUGUAGUUGCAGCCUGUACAAAAUAACUGUUGUUGGACUCUUCUUUCAUGUUGUUUCUCUUCUACUGACUUCUUGUUUUCUGUAAUUCGUACUUUCUCACAAUAUGAAUUGGAUCUUGUUUUAUGGAAACAAUAGGUGGUUUUUCCUGUAUGUUGUGCAUUUGCAAGAUUCUGCAGGUGCAAGACACCUUCCUAUUUCUGUUAUUAAAAAAAAUGCUGCCAUAUUGGCAUUCCAUUUACUGCUAAACUCAAGUUGCUUGCAAUUCUCAACGUAAAUUUUUGUUUGUUUUUGCUAUGCUUUCAAAGUGCCUCCAGUCCCACAUGCACGGCUUUUGGAUUACCUCAUCGUGAGUUGUUCCCUAUGUGUGUGUGUUUCUAGCAUUCUGCAGUACAAUUCAGACAGAAAUCAUAAAAAAGGCCUUUAACUCACCAAAGGUAAAUGUCUGUAUCUAUUAGGACAUUUUAUAUAUCAACCCCAGUUGAGAUGUGUGCUUAGAAAAGCUAUUUUUAAAUUAGAACAGCACAUUAAAUACUUAAUGUAAAAUUCCCCCUUGACUUCUAAUGUAAAUAUUAUUGUACACAUAUACUAUGGUUGACUACUUAAAAAUCAAAAUGAAAGUUUGUGUCUAAAGGUCCAGCUGUUUCAAACUGCAGGUUUGGGAUAAAAUAUGCAUUCCAGUAUAUUCUGUAUAUAGUUUGCAUCGUAUAUUAACAGGUCCCUUCUCCUGAUCCUAUUCCUCUCCAUCUAAGUAUUUUUCAAGAUUUAGUUAGUUAUGUGCCUGUACGUCUCCUUGCUUCAACCAUUGCCAUUUGGUCAGAACCUUGACCUCUUUUCUAAGGGGAAGAAAGAAGGUGUGUGUAUGGAUACAUGUAUGUUUAUAAUUGAUCCCAAUAGCUACUGAGCUGUGCCAUUCCUGGUACUCUGCCUAUGCAUCUAUUCUUUUGGACAUUUAUCAUCCCAUUCGUAUAAUUUAUGUAUGGAAAUAGGCUUGUGACUAGUACUGAUCUUGAGUACAGUUUAAAAAAAAAACUUUUGUCUGCAAGUAAGUUAAUGUUUGUCUCUUAAAUGUCAUUUAUCUACUUAACACUUUUUUGAGGGGAAAGGGUGGGGAAGGUGGGAAGCAAAUGUCAAUCCUAGCAGGUAUUGCAUGUAAAUUGUUAUCGAGUAAUGACUACAGCUCAGAUGAUUAAGGUUUCUGUAACAGAAAGCUCUGCUAUGUUUUCAUUUUUUAUAUAUUAUAAUUAUGAUUUGCUCAUUAUUGUAAAAUUAUAAACUUUGGCUUUAUGAAGUUUAGUUACUUUACCACUGCUUAUCAUACCACCAUUGGUUUCAUAGUGUAAAUACUAAACAUUGAAAAAUAAAACAUCAGAUUUAAAAAAAAAAAGAGAAAGA
rnacentral:lncRNA from 1 species